AUCACUUCUCGGCCUUUUGGCUAAGAUCAAGUGUAGUAUAUGUUCUUACCAGAAAUUCCGUUGGAGAUGUAGAAUUUUUCUAGUCCACUUCAAUGGUAUAAUCUUUCCCAAAUGUAGAGGUUCCUGAUUCUGAGUUUGCAUUUCUU
rnacentral:snRNA from 1 species